UACGUAGGGUGCAAGCGUUGUCCGGAAUUAUUGGGCGUAAAGAGCUCGUAGGCGGUCUGUCGCGUCUGCUGUGAAAACUCGGGGCUUAACCCCGAGCCUGCUUCCGAUACGGGCAGACUAGAGGUAUGCAGGGGAGAAUGGAAUUCCUGGUGUAGCGGUGAAAUGCGCAGAUAUCAGGAGGAACACCGGUGGCGAAGGCGGUUCUCUGGGCAUUACCUGACGCUGAGGAGCGAAAGUGUGGGGAGCGAACAGG
rnacentral:rRNA from 1 species